rnacentral:lncRNA from 1 species
UCUCUCACUUCGCCACUUUUGGUGGAGGAGCGGGGAAAGGCAAGGCCGGGGCCCGGAGCGCACGGUUCCCUGGCGAGUUAGGUUAGGAAUCCGUUCUCGGUGCUCGGCACGUUUCACAAGCCUCCCCGGCCGAGCUAGGCGAGAGACGAGCCCCCCCGGACGGACCCGCGGUCAGGGGCGCGCAGCGUGCGCAAUGCUGCCCCGGGCCGGCCCGCCGAGCCGGGGCGCGCUGCCUGCCCCGGGCGCCGCAACUCGGUGUGCGGAGCUCCGCACACUCGCGCGGGAGGCCGCUGCGCUCAGAGGGGAUGAGUGCAGGGUAGGAGAGGACACAACUGGCGCGGUGGGUGUGGAGGAGCAAGCAAAAAAAAAAAAAAAAAAAAAAGCCGAUCCAACAACAACAAAAAAAAGGACCAAGGGGUGCCCGCCAAGCGUGACGUUGCGGGACAAAGGUCCCAGAACACCGCACACGUGCUCACGCGCCGCGCUGGGUGGGGUGGGGACCUAAAUUCCCUGGCCUCACUCCUGAUUGGCCGCGCGGCAAGUCGCUAUUUGCAUCCGCACCUCCUGCGGCUGCCGGCGGAGGUGCGUGCAGGUAGCCGGGCCUCGGCGGGCUACUCCUCGGGUUCGAGUCUGUCCGGGGCGCAGACAGCCCUGGAAGCAAAACUUGAUACAGAUGCGAGCACGGCGCUGUCGCCGGCUUUACCGGAGGCCUUUGUUGUGUCCGCCGGGCCUUGUCAGGGGGGCGUUUUCCAUGUCUGGGGAUCAGGUAAUUCAUCUUGGGUGGGCUUCGAGGGCUCCCAGGACAACACGAGGCGCCCCGACAGGGCAGCGCCUCCGGUCCCACCUAGCUUUCCGGUUGUGUGUGUGUCCCCUUCUCCCUCCUUCUCUCCCACCCUCUCUCCCUUCCUCCCACUCCUGCCAGUGGAGAAUAAACUUAGAGAGCUCAGUAUCACAUCCUGUUUUCCUAAGACCCCAGACCAGACUUCCCCCUCAGCCACAUGAAGCCAUCGCAUCAAGAUGUCUGAUCUAA